UACAGAGGUCUCAAGCGUUGUUCGGAUUCAUUGGGCGUAAAGGGCGUGUAGGUGGCGCGCUAAGUCGGGUGUGAAAUUUCGGAGCCUAACUCCGAAACUGCAUUCGAUACUGGCGUGCUUGAGGACUGGAGAGGAGACUGGAAUUCAUGGUGUAGCAGUGAAAUGCGUAGAGAUCAUGAGGAAGACCAGUGGCGAAGGCGGGUCUCUGGACAGUUCCUGACACUGAGACACGAAGGCCAGGGGAGCAAACGGG
rnacentral:rRNA from 1 species